rnacentral:rRNA from 1 species
AGCGAACGCUGGCGGCAGGCCUAACACAUGCAAGUCGAACGAACCUUUCGGGGUUAGUGGCGGACGGGUGAGUAACACGUGGGAACGUGCCUUUAGGUUCGGAAUAACUCAGGGAAACUUGUGCUAAUACCGAAUGUGCCCUUCGGGGGAAAGAUUUAUCGCCUUUAGAGCGGCCCGCGUCUGAUUAGCUAGUUGGUUGAGGUAAUGGCUCACCAAGGCGACGAUCAGUAGCUGGUCUGAGAGGAUGAUCAGCCACAUUGGGACUGAGACACGGCCCAAACUCCUACGGGAGGCAGCAGUGGGGAAUCUUGCGCAAUGGGCGAAAGCCUGACGCAGCCAUGCCGCGUGAAUGAUGAAGGUCUUAGGAUUGUAAAAUUCUUUCACCGGGGACGAUAAUGACGGUACCCGGAGAAGAAGCCCCGGCGAACUUCGU